rfam:Flavobacteriaceae bacterium (ex Bugula neritina AB1) isolate AB1-1 AB832_contig000244, whole genome shotgun sequence.
CAGUGGGUGAGAAUCCCACCUGAGUAAUUGGCUGUUCACUCAGAAGAAAAACGUACAGUUGUUCCUGUGAGGGAUCUGCUGAAGCUAUGUUCUUUCAAAUAAUCAAGCCGUAAUGCGU